CUAGUCGCACGAGUUCAGACUCGUGGCAGAUAGCUCAGUAACACGUGGCCAAACUACCCUAUAGAUCCGGCCAACCUCGGGAAACUGAGGCUAAUCCGGGAUAACGCUUUCAGCCUGGAGUGGCGAGAGCGUGAAACGCUCCGGCGCUAUAGGAUGUGGCUGCGGCCGAUUAGGUAGACGGUGGGGUAACGGCCCACCGUGCCAGUAAUCGGUACGGGUUGUGAGAGCAAGAGCCCGGAGACGGUAUCUGAGACAAGAUACCGGGCCCUACGGGGCGCAGCAGGCGCGAAACCUUUACACUGCACGCGAGUGCGAUAAGGGGACUCCAGGUGCGAGGGCAUAUAGUCCUCGCUUUUCUCGACCGUAGGGAGGUCGAGGAACAAGUGCUGGGCAAGACCGGUGCCAGCCGCCGCGGUAAUACCGGCAGCACAAGUGAUGACCGCUGUUAUUGGGCCUAAAGCGUCCGUAGCUGGCCAGACAAGUUCAUCGGGAAAUCUGCGCGCCUAACGCGCAGGCGUCCGGUGGAAACUGCCUGGCUUGGGACCGGAAGACCAGAGGGGUACGUCUGGGGUAGGAGUGAAAUCCCGUAAUCCUGGACGGACCACCGGUGGCGAAAGCGCCUCUGGAAGACGGA
rnacentral:rRNA from 1 species